rnacentral:rRNA from 1 species
GAUGAACGCUAGCUACAGGCUUAACACAUGAAAGUCGAGGGGUAGCAGGGUAGCAAUACCGCUGACGACCGGCGCACGGGUGAGUAACACGUAUCCAACCUUCCCAUAACUCGGGGAUAGCCUUUCGAAAGAAAGAUUAAUACCCGAUAGUACUUUUUCAAGGCAUCCUGAAAACGUUAACUAUUCAUGGGUUAUGGAGGGGGAUGCGUUCCGUUAGAUAGUUGGUGAGGUAACGGCUCACCAAGUCUUCGAUGGAUAGGGGUUCUGGGAGGAAGGUCCCCCACGUUGGUACUGAGACACGGACCAAACUCCUACGGGAGGCAGCAGUGAGGAAUAUUGGUCAAUGGGCGAGAGCCUGAACCAGCCAAGUAGCGUGAAGGAUGAAGGUCCUAUGGAUUGUAAACUUCUUUUAUAGUAGAAUAAAGUGAUCCACGUGUGGAUUUUUGUAUGUAUACUAUGAAUAAGGAUCGGCUAACUCCGUGCCAGCAGCCGCUGUAA